rnacentral:rRNA from 1 species
AUGAAACCUACUGGUCAACUAGGGGCGACGCCCUUACACACUGUCUCAGAGUUGAUAGAUGACUAUACUGGGAACUGGAAUGUCAGUUUGGUCCGCCAAAACUUUCUUCACCCGGACGCGGAAGCGAUCCUUAAUAUACCCUUGAACAGAUCAGGCGGGGAAGAUAGUUUGGCGUGGUCGUUGGAAAAGUCGGGUAACUAUACUGUAAAAUCAGCGUAUCACUCUCUCAUGACUCGGAACGAGCUUAGUUCUCUAGAGGAAGGGACGAGGACGGACACUUCAUCAGCAAAUAAACAGUUAUGGACCGUACUUUGGAAAUUGCGGGUGGUGCCGAAGGUUAGGGUUUUCUGGUGGAGGGUUUUGCGGGGCAUCCUGCCAGACUACAUGACUCUACAGCAUCGGCACAUCAAACCACUUGGCCGCUGCGAUCUCUGCAAGGCCAUGAAUGAAGACUUAAAGCAUGCACUUGUCUCGUGCUCACAUGCCAAACAAUUCUGGAUUGCUGCGAAGGAUCGGUUCGAUCUUCAUUUGCCGAGGCUGCAUCCGCUAACAUGGGCGCGGGACAUUGUGCUCGAUGAGAUGUUUUCUGAUGAAGCUCGUUGUCAGAUUAUCACCAUUAUGCAUGCAAUAUGGACCUCGAGGAACAAAUGGACCCACGAUCAGGAGGGUUUCUCCCCAGGGCAAGCGCUCAAGUGGAUCCAUGAAGCCCCCGCCAUACUCGAUUUACCUGACCGUCGACCAGGUGUACAGACGAGACGGAGCUGGAACCCCCCUGAUGCGGGGUGGAUCACCACCAACGUUGAUGGUUCAGUAUUCCCAGACGGGUUGAUAGGAGGAGCAGGCGGCGUAGCCUGA